CUCACUCAGGGCUGAGUCUCUGGGGAAGGCAGAGCUGUGCUCGAGGAGAAGAUGAUUCUGUGGGGUCUUCUCCUCUGCCUGGCGACAGCGCCCCUGGGUGCUGUGUCUGCUCUGACCCUGCAGGAGUCAGGCCCAGGCCUGGUGAAGCCCUCCCAGACCCUGUUCCUCACCUGCUCUGUCUCUGGGGGCUCUGUCACCAGCAGUAACUACUGGCAUUGGAUCCGCCAGCGCCCUGGGAAAGGGUUGGAAUGGAUGGGGUACUGGUCAGGUGGUACCAGCUACAACCCAGCAUUCCAGGGGCGCAUCUCAAUCACAGCUGACACCUCCAAGAAUCAGUUCUCCCUGCAGCUGAGCUCUGUGACCUCCGAGGACACGGCCAUGUACUACUGUGCAAGAGGCACAGUGAGGGGAAGUCAGGGUGAGCUCAGACAAAAACCUCCCUACUGGGAGAGUAUGCUGUCCCUCACCUGCUCGGUCUCUGGAUUCUCUCUGACCAGUAAUGCUGUGCACUGGGUCCGCCAGGCCCCUGGAAAGGGGCUGGAUUGGAUUGGUGCUAUAGGUACUGGUGGGGACACAUACUAUAACCCAAGUCUUCAGUCCCGACUCAGUAUCUCCAGGGACAUCUCAAACAACCAAGUUUACCUAAAACUGAGCAACUCAGUGCCUGAGGACACAGCUGUGUAUUAUUGUAAAUCGCCUUACUAUUUUUCAUGA